AUCAUGCAUGCUGCUAACUCUGCCUCGUCUUGCAGCUCACCACAUGGUUGGACUUAGUGCUUUCUGCUUCCACCAAAUCCACCGUUUUAGACACCAGGUACCAAUUUAAUCUUGAUACCGCAGCAUGAAUGAGAACAUAUGGCUAAUAGAUUAUGUGUUCAAUAAGCUCCCUUUUCACCUUGGAGAAAGCAUAUAGUUACAUCACUGAAAGGAAGAAUCCGUAUAGAUCUGCCUUAGCAACAUGUUCAGCUUCUGUGAGGGAUGGGCUUCUCUUUGCCUGACACCACAGCCCGUAGUUAACACCAAGGGGAGGAAUGCAAAACAGCACCGGUGGGUGCUAUGAUCAUAUGUGGGUUCACUUUAUCAAAUAGUCUUUGAAUUUGCUCCCGAUGCUGGUUAGAGAAGGAGUGGAUGCUUGCUGUCCUUGCCAACUUAUGUCAGCUCUUCCCGCAGAAAAUGUUGAGCAGACUGAGAAAUAUGCUCUGUGAUCACAGGGGCCCUUGAUAGACGAAACAAGAUCACACUGAUUCUGGGGUUUUGCCUUUUUCCUGUGCUGUAGCAACACAGAGCAUUAAAACAGCUUUGCAAAACUGCAGGGCUUUCAAGCCAGUAAGUCAUGACACUCCCUGUUUCUUAAUAAUUAGUGAUAGCAACUGAAUUGGCUGAUUAGGGACAUGCCAUUUCUUGAUAUCAAUCCUGACAGGUAGUGGGGGUCUGGCAGAGAGCUCAUGCUGUGUGACACAGCAGGAUGAGUUUGCAUUGAAUUGUAAUUCCUCUCCACCUUCUUCCUUAGGUUUGUAAUUUGUGCUUAGAAGUUGAUGAAGACAAUGCAGUCAGUCCAUGAACUUCAUCUGAAAUGAGCAUCAGCUCCAGAAACGGUGCUAACAUCAAGAUUAUCAUUCUGAACAAACACAAGGAGAAAGGCAUUGCACAGUCACAGAUGCUCAUGGAACAUUUAGUACCUUAAGUCAUGACACCAUCCAUGAAUUCUCUACCCAAAAGCUGGGUGCAAGGAUGAGCUCCAGCUGCUCAGCUCAGGCAUAUGUGAAAGAGGAGAUGGGACGUCCAACAGGAUUGAUGAAACAGCUGGAGGGCAGCAUCUGCAUGUAUAAAAGAGCUUGCCAGAGAAGGACAGCGGGGAAGACUGCUAUAUUUGGUACACAGGGAGGCUUUCAGACUGUGAAGGGGGCAAGAUCAGAUUAAUGCAUUUGGAUCUAAGGACUCAGGGUAUUGUGCGAAUAUCUCCAGUUGAAGUUCAGUUCUCCCAUUCAUCAGCACAAGAUUUGCACAAAAGCAGAAGCUGUUGCCUGACCUUCAAGGCAGAACCACAGUAGCGCCAUCCAGGAUAGACAUCUGUGUAUUUAAGAAGCACCAAAGCAUCAUUUAAGUGCUACUGUGGAAGCAUUUGCCAGAAAGGGAAAGCUUUCAGAAGAGGGAGAAAGGCCCAGAGAGACUGCAUGGACUAUUCUUAGGGCUUUUUAUUCCUCCAGUCCUCCUACAUUCCUCCCUCUCACACUCUGCAGCUGCUAUGUUGAGAUCUCUUGCAUGGUAUCAACCACUUAUUAAACUUUCCAUCAGGUAGCUUCAUGGAGGACAGCUGUUCCACGAUGCCCUUCCUUUUUGGAAGCACUUUCCAUAAAAGCAAGCAAAGCCACUUCCUUUAUCUGCCUUAAAAAUUAACAGACUCCUCUGCUACAGUGUCCUGCAAGCCUUCUCCAGCAAUCAGCGUGGCUGUGAAGAGACCACUGCUGACCACGAUAUCCAACAUCCCAGUAGCAUCUCGCCCAGGUGCAACAGGGGGCACAAAAUUGCAUUUCGUGAUUCCUGCCACCACAGCAACAAUUUGGACUUCAUCCACAGUAGCAUUUUCAGGAAGAUGUGUACUCCAACUUGAAAGUACUGUGCAAUAGCAGAGAUCUCAUACUCAAGGGAAGUUAAUGCAACAAUGAUUUACCUUACAGUAAAAAACUGUGCAUGCUGUC